rnacentral:rRNA from 1 species
UACGAAGGGUGCAAACGUUGCUCGGAAUCAUUGGGCGUAAAGCGCACGUAGGCGGCUUUGCAAGUCGGAUGUGAAAUCCCGUGGCUCAACCAUGGACGUGCAUUCGAAACUGCGAAGCUUGAGUAUGGAAGAGGGUCGCGGAAUUCCCGGUGUAGAGGUGAAAUGCGUAGAUAUCUGGAGGAACACCGGUGGCGAAGGCGGCAUCCUGGACCAACACUGACGCUGAGGAGCGAAAGCCAGGGGAGCAAACGGG